UGAGCUGGGUUUAGAACGUCGUGAGACAGUUCGGUCCCUAUCUGCCGUGGGUGUAGGAAAAUUGAGAGGAUCUGUCCCUAGUACGAGAGGACCGGGAUGGACACACCUCUGGUGGACCGGUUGUCGCGCCAGCGGCACAGCCGGGUAGCUAUGUGUGGACGGGAUAACCGCUGAAAGCAUCUAAGCGGGAAACCCACCUCAAAACCAGUUUUCCCUUGAGAGCCGUGGAAGACGACCACGUUGAUAGGCCAGGUGUGGAAGUGCGGCAACGCAUGUAGCUUACUGGUACUAAUCGCUCGAUUGGCUUGAUUAC
rnacentral:rRNA from 1 species